GAUGAACGCUGGCGGCGUGCCUAAUACAUGCAAGUCGAGCGAACGGACGAGAAGCUUGCUUCUCUGAUGUUAGCGGCGGACGGGUGAGUAACACGUGGAUAACCUACCUAUAAGACUGGGAUAACUUCGGGAAACCGGAGCUAAUACCGGAUAAUAUUUUGAACCGCAUGGUUCAAAAGUAAAAGACGGUCUUGCUGUCACUUAUAGAUGGAUCCGCGCUGCAUUAGCUAGUUGGUAAGGUAACGGCUUACCAAGGCAACGAUGCAUAGCCGACCUGAGAGGGUGAUCGGCCACACUGGAACUGAGACACGGUCCAGACUCCUACGGGAGGCAGCAGUAGGGAAUCUUCCGCAAUGGGCGAAAGCCUGACGGAGCAACGCCGCGUGAGUGAUGAAGGUCUUCGGAUCGUAAAACUCUGUUAUUGGGGAAGAACAUAUGUGUAAGUAACUGUGCACAUCUUGACGGUACCUAAUCAGAAAGCCACGGCUAACUACGUG
rnacentral:rRNA from 1 species